GGUUAUAGCUCAAGUGGUAGAGAGCAUGCUUAGCAUGCAUGAGGUCCUGGGUUCAAUCCCCAGUACCUCCA
rnacentral:tRNA from 1 species